GACGAACGCUGGCGGCGUGCUUAACACAUGCAAGUCGAACGGUGAAGGGGUCUGCUUUUGUGGGCCCUGGAUGAGUGGCGAACGGGUGAGUAACACGUGAGUAACCUGCCCCCUUCUUCUGGAUAACCGCAUGAAAGUGUGGCUAAUACGGGAUAUUCUGGGUCUGUCGCAUGAUGGGUCUGGGAAAGAUUGCGCCUUUGGGUGUUUUUGGUGGGGGAUGGGCUCGCGGCCUAUCAGCUUGUUGGUGGGGUGAUGGCCUACCAAGGCGGUGACGGGUAGCCGGCCUGAGAGGGUGGACGGUCACACUGGGACUGAGACACGGCCCAGACUCCUACGGGAGGCAGCAGUGGGGAAUAUUGCACAAUGGGCGCAAGCCUGAUGCAGCGACGCCGCGUGAGGGAUGGAGGCCUUCGGGGUGUAAACCUCUUUCGCCAGUGAAGCAGGCCUGCUCCGUGUGGGUGGGUUGACGGUAGCUGGAUAAGAAGCGCCGGCUAACUACGUG
rnacentral:rRNA from 1 species